rnacentral:rRNA from 1 species
AACGAACGCUGGCGGCAGGCUUAACACAUGCAAGUCGAGCGCCCCGCCAGGGGAGCGGCAGACGGGUGGGUAACGCGUGGGAACGUACCUUUUGGUUCGGAACAACCCCGGGAAACUGGAGCUAAUACCGGAUAAGCCCUAACGAGGGAAGAUUUAGCGCCGAAAGAUCGGCGCGCGUCUGAUUAGAUAGUUGGUGGGGUAACGGCUCACCAAGGCGACGUGUAGGAGCUGUUAUGUGAGAAUCAUCAGACACACUGGAACUGAGCCACGGUCCGGACUCUUGCGCGAGGGGGCAGAGGGUAAUAUUGGAAAAUGGGGGCCAGGCUGAUGCAGCCAGGGCGGGUGAGUGAUGAAGUCCUUAGGGUUGUAAAUCUCGUUUGUACGUGGAGAUAAUGACGGUACCGGAAGAAUAAGCCCCGGCUAACUUCGUG